UACGUAGGGACCGAGCGUUGUCCGGAAUCAUUGGGCGUAAAGAGCGUGUAGGCGGCUUGUUAAGUCUUGCGUGAAAUCUCGGGGCUCAACCCCGAGCGGUCGUGAGAAACUGGCAGGCUAGAGUGCGGGAGAGGAGAGUGGAAUUCCUGGUGUAGAGGUGGAAUUCGUAGAUAUUAGGAAGAACACCAGUGGCGAAGGCGGCUCACUGGCCCGGUACUGACGCUGAGGCACGAAAGCGUGGGGAGCAAACAGG
rnacentral:rRNA from 1 species